ensembl:snoRNA
AUCCUUUUGUGGUUCAUAAGCAUCAUGAAUGGGUGUUCACACAUUUGUGUGAGAUGUGCCUCCCUCAAACCUUGUUAUGACAUAGGCACAUUAUCUGUCUAACA